rnacentral:rRNA from 1 species
UGAGGGACGAAGGUCUUCGCGAUUGUAAACCUCUUUCAGCAGAGGACGAAGCGAAAGUGACGGUACCUGCAGAAGAAGCACCGGCUAACUAUGUGCCAGCAGCCGCGGUAAUAACAUAGGGUGCAAGCGUUGUCCGGAUUUAUUUGGGCGUAAAAGAGUUCGUAAGGCGAGAUAAUCACCUAUUUUCCCCUGGCAACUUGCACCUAACCAAGGCCAGCAACACAUUUAGCUGUUUUGCACAAACAACCGACNUAAAACACCAUUUAAUCCGACACAGGCUGGGUGGACACCCACAUUUAUCCCCCCCAACAAAUAUCUUGCCACACCGACAUUUGGAUAGCAAUAGGGGGGUCCCACCCUAUCUUAGGGACUAUUUUUUUUUUCCCCGGGCAAUUUAAAAACCCCGGGUGGGAUGGCGGCCAAAAAACAAACCCAUUUCGAAGGAACGGCAGUGGGAGAUCCGGAACUCCUAGGUAUAAGACGGCGGAAUCGCGCAGAUAUCAAGGAAGAACACCAAUAGGCGAAAGGAAGGUCUCUUGGGCCGAUUCUAGACGCUAGAGGAACGAAAGCGUGGGGAGCAAACAGGAUUAGAUACCCAUGGUAGUCCACGCUGUAAACGAUGGACGCUAAGUGUGGGGAACAUUCCACGUUCUCUGCGCCGCAGCUAACGCAUUAAGC